ACGCUGCUUGAUCAUGUAACAGCAGGCAUCACCAGAACAUCUUUAGAUCUUCAGAUCUACACAAAUGAGUCUGCAUCAUCAGGUAGUUCAUCCACUGAAGAAAGCUGAGGCUGGAGGAGAGGAAGACCAUGGAGCAGGUUUAUGGAUGCAGUAAGGAAAGACAUGUAGGAGGUUGGAAAGAUGUCGAGGAUGGAGAUGGAUGAUCAAGCUGAAAUGACCAAAUGCUACAUGAGUGGACACGAGCUGCUUAUGGUCCAAUUCAUGUUUAUUUGUUUUGCGCUUUUAACAAUGAACAUCAUCUCAGAGCAGCGUUACACUGAUAAUGUGCUGAUAAAAAUAAAUGUUCUCUAUAA